UACAGAGGAUGCAAGCGUUAUCCGGAAUGAUUGGGCGUAAAGCGUCUGUAGGUGGCUUUUUAAGUCCGCCGUCAAAUCCCAGGGCUCAACUCUGGACAGGCGGUGGAAACUACCAAGCUGGAGUACGGUAGGGGCAGAGGGAAUUUCCGGUGGAGCGGUGAAAUGCGUAGAGAUGUGGAGGAACACCGAUGGCGAAGGCAGCCUCCUGGGCCAGCACUGACGCUCAUGCACGAAAGCGUGGGGAGCAAACAGG
rnacentral:rRNA from 1 species